rnacentral:rRNA from 1 species
UAGGGAAUCUUCGGCAAUGGGGGCAACCCUGACCGAGCAACGCCGCGUGAGUGAAGAAGGUUUUCGGAUCGUAAAGCUCUGUUGUAAGUCAAGAACGAGUGUGAGAGUGGAAAGUUCACACUGUGACGGUAGCUUACCAGAAAGGGACGGCUAACUACGUGCCAGCAGCCGCGGUAAUACGUAGGUCCCGAGCGUUGUCCGGAUUUAUUGGGCGUAAAGCGAGCGCAGGCGGUUUGAUAAGUCUGAAGUUAAAGGCUGUGGCUCAACCAUAGUUCGCUUUGGAAACUGUCAAACUUGAGUGCAGAAGGGGAGAGUGGAAUUCCAUGUGUAGCGGUGAAAUGCGUAGAUAUAUGGAGGAACACCGGUGGCGAAAGCGGCUCUCUGGUCUGUAACUGACGCUGAGGCUCGAAAGCGUGGGGAGCGAACAGGAUUAGAUACCCUGGUAGUCCACGCCGUAAACGAUGAGUGCUAGGUGUUGAAUCCUUUCCGGGAUUCAGUGCCGCAGCUAACGCAUUAAGCACUCCGCCUGGGGAGUACGACCGCAAGGUUG